rnacentral:rRNA from 1 species
CCCUUAGAUGUUCUGGGCCGCACGCGCGCUACACUGACGAAGUCAGCGAGCAUGUCCUACGCCGACAGGUGCGGGGAAUCUUGUCAAACUUCGUCGUGAUGAGGAUUGAUUAUUGAAAUUCUUGAUCAUCAACGAGGAAUUCCUAGUAAGCGCAAGUCAGCAGCUUGCGUUGAUUACGUCCCUGCCCUUUGUACACACCGCCCGUCGCUACUACCGAUUGAAUGGUUUAGUGAGAUCUUCGGAUUGGCGCCACUGCGGCUCAGCAAUGGGCUCGGUGGAUGCCGAAAAGUUGAUCAAACUUGAUCAUUUAGAGGAAGUAAAAGUCGUAACA